GAGUGAACGCUGGCGGUAGUCCUAACACAUGCAAGUCGAACGGCAGCACAGUAAGAGCUUGCUCUUACGGGUGGCGAGUGGCGGACGGGUGAGGAAUACAUCGGAAUCUACUUUUUCGUGGGGGAUAACGUAGGGAAACUUACGCUAAUACCGCAUACGACCUACGGGUGAAAGCAGGGGAUCUUCGGACCUUGCGCGAUUGAAUGAGCCGAUGUCGGAUUAGCUAGUUGGCGGGGUAAAGGCCCACCAAGGCGACGAUCCGUAGCUGGUCUGAGAGGAUGAUCAGCCACACUGGAACUGAGACACGGUCCAGACUCCUACGGGAGGCAGCAGUGGGGAAUAUUGGACAAUGGGCGCAAGCCUGAUCCAGCCAUACCGCGUGGGUGAAGAAGGCCUUCGGGUUGUAAAGCCCUUUUGUUGGGAAAGAAAAGCAGCAGGUUAAUACCCCGCUGUUCUGACGGUACCCAAAGAAUAAGCACCGGCUAACUUCGUG
rnacentral:rRNA from 1 species